rnacentral:misc_RNA from 1 species
AUGAAACUUCAAAGUCGGCUUGUUUCAUCUGUUGCUGGUGGAGACACAUGUGCACGUUGAACAAGUCGCAAAUCCACACACCUGUGCAUCUUAUGACUCUGAGUCGCCGUUUUGCGUGGCCUCUCAUCGGGCCUGGUGACUCGAGUACUUUACACACUCUUGAAUGUAAUGGAAUGUCUAUUGUGCAUAACGUACAACUAAAA